UACGGAAGGCAGCAGUGGGGAAUAUUGCACAAUGGGCGAAAGCCUGAUGCAGCUAUGCCGCGUGUAUGAAGAAGGCCUUAGGGUUGUAAAGUACUUUCAUCGGGGAGGAAAAAACAAAACUAAUAAUUUUAUUUCUUGACGUUACCCGAAAAAGAAGCACCGGCUAACUCCGUGCCAGCAGCCGCGGUAAUACGGAGGGUGCUAGCGUUAAUCAGAAUUACUGGGCGUAAAGAGCACGUAGGUGGUUUUUUUAAGUCAGAUGUGAAAUCCCUGGGCUUAACCUGGAACUGCAUUUUGAAACUGAAAUACUAGAGUAUCGUAGAGGGAGGUAGAAUUCUAGGUGUAGCGGUGAAAUGCGUAGAUAUCUGGAGGAAUACCUGUGGCGAAAGCGGCCUCCUAAACGAAUACUGACACUGAGGUGCGAAAGCUGGGGAGCAAACAGGGAUUAGGAUACC
rnacentral:rRNA from 1 species